UCGAGAAUCUUUCACAAUGGGCGAAAGCCUGAUGGAGCGACGCCGCGUGGGGGAUGAAUGGCUUCGGCCCGUAAACCCCUGUCAUUUGCGAACAAACCUCGUAAUUUAAAAGAUGACGAGCUGAUUGUAGCGAAAGAGGAAGGGACGGCUAACUCUGUGCCAGCAGCCGCGGUAAUACAGAGGUCCCAAGCGUUGUUCGGAUUCACUGGGCGUAAAGGGUGCGUAGGUGGUUAGGUAAGUCUAAUGUGAAAUCUCCGAGCUUAACUCGGAAACUGCAUCGGAUACUAUCUAGCUUGAGGGUUGGAGGGGGGACUGGAAUACUUGGUGUAGCAGUGAAAUGCGUAGAUAUCAAGUGGAACACCAGUGGCGAAGGCGAGUCCCUGGACAACUCCUGACACUGAGGCACGAAAGCUAGGGGAGCAAACAGGAUUAGAUACCCGGGUAGUCCCUGAGCGGGCUGGCAAGGCGCAU
rnacentral:rRNA from 1 species